rnacentral:rRNA from 1 species
UACGGAGGGUGCGAGCGUUGUCCGGAAUCACUGGGCGUAAAGGGCGCGUAGGCGGCCUGAUAAGUAGGGGGUGAAAUCCUGCGGCUUAACCGCAGGGCUGCCUUCUAAACUGUCAGGCUGGAGCACAGUAGAGGCAGGUGGAAUUCCCGGUGUAGCGGUGGAAUGCGUAGAGAUCGGGAAGAACAUCAGUGGCGAAGGCGGCCUGCUGGGCUGUGCUGACGCUGAGGCGCGACAGCGUGGGGAGCAAACAGG